UACAGAGGUCUCAAGCGUUGUUCGGAUUCAUUGGGCGUAAAGGGUGCGUAGGUGGCGUCGUAAGUCGGGUGUGAAAUUUCGGAGCUUAACUCCGAAACUGCAUUCGAUAACUGCGGUGCUUGAGGACUGGAGAGGAGACUGGAAUUUACGGUGUAGCAGUGAAAUGCGUAGAGAUCGAUAAGGAAGACCAGUGGCGAAGGCGGGUC
rnacentral:rRNA from 1 species